GGUAUUACAUUCUUACUUUUAACGUGGAUGCCUAAACUUUUAAUCCUCUUCUUCCUUUAACAGUCAGCCUCUGCAACAUUAGUAUUUCUCUCUCUGCCAAAAACAUCUUCCCCUCUCUCUCUAUCUCAGUUUCCUUUUCGAAAUUUAUAUAUAGCCUGAUUUUCGUUUCCCAUUUCCGUUGUUUCUAAACAGCUUCUUCCCCUCUUAAAUAUUUAUCCAUUUCCUUUUACUCCAAGCUUUCCAUUUUUAUAUUAUUUUGAGUUACGUUUUGCUCAAAUAGCAGUUAACAUUUUGCUUCUUUUAAUUAUGUUGGCAAGAAUUCAAGGUUAAUCAUAGCCGCACAAAGGAAGAGUUAAGGUCUGCGUACAUCCUACCUUCCCUAGGCGCACUUGUGAGAUUACACUAGCCGAGGGUCUUUCGGAAACAGUCUCCCUACCUUCCAAGGUGAGGGUAAGGUCUGCAUAUACUUUACCCUCCCCAGACCUCACAUUGUGGGAUUCAACUGGCUUGGAACUCUCAAACUUCCACCUCUCCCCAAGCUCCAAUACGCCUUGAUCGUCGUAAACAGAGCUAUCCUUGGGAAAGGAAUCCUUUGAACUCACCUUGGAAUACUUGAUGGACAAGGUAAACAUUCCCAGACACCACCAAACCUACCUUGAUAAGAAGACGCCAUCAUAUGCUCUCUACGGCUUCCCCUGGGCAUUCAUGGACUGGACUUAUGAAGCCUUUCCCAUACUUGGACUGCAUGCUGGCAAAUCAGAUGAGGUUCCUUUACCUAUUCCUAGGAUUCUUAAGUGGCACACCACAAAAAUGGAGCAAUAAACUGAAGGUGAUCCAUUUAGGAUUGGAAGGGAAUUUCACAGGUAUAAAUUUGGAGUCUAUUAUCAAUGUUUUUGCAAAAAUAUAAACUAAAUGCUAAUGUUUUGCGUAUUUAAUGGAGCAAUUAACUGUUUGUACACCCUUAUAUCAUUCCCACAAUGCGUGAGCUGGAGCAGAACUACAUGAAAGACUUCUUGGUGUUUGAUGAUGAGGUUGAUGAUCCCAUCAUAGAUAAAUUGAAGAUUGAAUUGGAAGGCGUGACUGUAUUGGUUACAUCAAAGAAUGGCUCGAAGGUUCCUAGCAGCUUGAGAAAGGAGCCCAAGGAGAAUUCUGAUGAGGAUACUCAUCAUGCCUUGAAGCGUCAUAGUAGAUUUGAAAAGGAAUCCGAGGAGCUCUUAUAUGAUGGGGAAGAUAUUCAAUCAGAAGAUUUUGGUGGUAAUGUUGGCAUUGGGACUUCUAGGGGUCGUGCAGCACCAAAUGGGGGCCCAUCAGUGCCGAUAGAGCAUGUGGAACUGCAAUAGCGUGUGGAUAAGAUGGAGGAGUCUCGAAAUUUUCUUCUCGCUUAUAUGGAGGUAGAAAAAUUUAGAAGGAGCGAGAAGGCGAAGAAGUAGAAUAAUCAGGAGACUAUCCAAGAGAAAGCACAAGCACCUGUGGAACCAUCUGCUAUUAACAAGUUGAAUGUAGGUGCUGAGCCAACUGCUGAGAUCCUUAGACCAAUUGCUCAUAAGAAGGUUGAGGUCCGUAGACUUGCUUCUGAAGUUGAGAAGGUUGAGGUCAAGAAGUUUGAGCUCCCUAUGCCAUAUGCUCAAGCUGAGAAGGUAGCAGAUGUUUCUGUGCCAAAUGUACAGGUUAAUGAGAAGAAUGCUAGUGCUGAUCUUGAGAAGGUUGAGGUCGCUAGACCAGGUUUUGAAGUUGAGAAACUUGAGAAGGUUGAGGUCGAGAAGGUUGAGCUCCCUAUGCUAGCUGCUCAAGUUGGGAAGGCAGCAUAUGUCCCUGCUAAGGUUGAUGAGAAGAAUGCUAGUGAGGCGAGUCAAUCUAAUGUUGAGUUUGACUCUGAAAAAGUUUUGUCGGGCUUUCUCGCCUAGAUUAACGGUUCUUCAGACAACUAAUUUGGUUAUUUGGGUUGUAACAAACAAUUAAGUUUUUUCUGAAUGUGUGUGGUGGAUGAUGACAAACAAUCAGUACUAAUGUCUGACAGUUUUAACAAACAA